UACGGAGGGUGCUAGCGUUGUUCGGAAUUACUGGGCGUAAAGGGCGCGUAGGCGGCCUUCUAAGUCGAACGUGAAAUCCCCGGGCUCAACCCGGGAACUGCGUCCGAUACUGGAAGGCUUGAAUCCGGGAGAGGGAUGUGGAAUUCCAGGUGUAGCGGUGAAAUGCGUAGAUAUCUGGAGGAACACCGGUGGCGAAGGCGACAUCCUGGACCGGUAUUGACGCUGAGGCGCGAAAGCCAGGGGAGCAAACGGG
rnacentral:rRNA from 1 species